rnacentral:rRNA from 1 species
GACGAACGCUGGCGGCGUGCUUAACACAUGCAAGUCGAACGGAUAGGCCCCGCUAUUUUGGUGUGCUAGAGUGGCGAAAGGGGUAGUGACCUGUCCGUCACCUGCCCUCAACUUUGCGAUAACUUCACGAAACUGGCAUUCAUACCGCGUAGGAGAUCGUGAUCCAUGGCGGGCUGUGGAUAGUCUCAGCGGUGGGGGAGGGACUGGCGGUGGUUCAGCUUGAUGGUGGGGUAGUGGCUUACCAAGGCUUUGACGGGUAGCCGGCCUGGGAGGGUGACCGGCCAAACUGGGACUGGGAUACGGCCCAGACUCCUACGGGAGGCGGCAGUGGGGAAUGUUGCACAAUGGGCGGAAGGCUGAUGCAGCAACGCCGCGUGGGGGAUGAGGGCCUGGGGGUCGUGUACCGCUCCGGCCUGGGACGAAGAGAGAGAGACGGUAACCGGUAAAGAAGCCCCGGCUAACUACGUG